rnacentral:lncRNA from 1 species
GCUCUCUCUGUUAGGGGGUUGGUAUUAUCAUCAUCUCUCUUAGGGGGUUGGUAUUAUCAUCAUCUCUCUCUUUUAGGGGGUUGGUAUUAUCAUCAUCUCUCUCUGUUAGGGGGUUGGUAUUAUCAUCAUCUCUCUCUGUUAGGUGGUUGGUAUUAUCAUCAUCUCUCUCUGUUAGGGGGUUGGUAUUAUCAUCUCUCUCUGUUAGGGGGUUGGUAUUAUCAUCAUCUCUCUCUGUUAGGGGGUUGGUAUUAUCAUCUCUCUCUCUGUUAGGGGGUUGGUAUCAUCAUCUCUCUCUGUUAGGGGGUUGGUAUCAUCAUCAUCUCUCUCUGUUAGGGGGUUGGUAUUAUAAUCAUCUCUCUCUCUCUGUUAGGGGGUUGGUAUUAUCAUCAUCUCUCUCUCUGUUAGGGGGUUGGUAUUAUCAUCAUCUCUCUCUCUGUUAGGGGGAUGGUAUUAUCAUCAUCUCUCUCUCUGUUAGGGGGUUGGUAUUAUCAUCAUCUCUCUCUGUUAGGGGGUUGGUAUUAUCAUCAUCUCUCUCUCUGUUAGGGGAUGGUAUUAUCAUCAUCUCUCUCUCUGUUAG